CCCGACACGCCUCUUAACAAUGCGCACCAAGUCGGGU
rnacentral:sRNA from 18 species